rnacentral:lncRNA from 1 species
CGCAUAUUUAUAAGGGAUUUCAAAAUCCUAAUAGGUGCGUAAGAGAUAAGACCAAAUCGGUUAUUAAUUGUUAUCCUAAUAUGAUUAGAUUUUAUCUCUAAAUAGCUUUCCAAUUUAAAAGCGAGAUUAAUUCUAAUCCAAUUAGAUUACAUAAUAACCGUCGGAUCGAGCCCGAUUAUGGGCGCACCCUAUUCGAUUUAACCGAAUGCCAA